CUUGGAGUCAGAGAAAAGCAUACGGGGAAACUGAGCCAGGAGGACCACUUUGAGCUCAGUGAUUUGAGACUUAAACAACAUGAGACCCUCAAAGCUGGAAUUAGGGGUACCAAGGAGAAAGAAAGCUGAAUGUUAAGGAGUCGGUGUGACAGCCAGCCUUUCUAGGUCUCCAGCGCCUCCUCAACACGGACUAGCAAAGGGACUUCCCCUUACAAUCCAUUGGCCCCACAGACCCCCGCUGCAAACACAUUCUUAGCAUCCUGUCCCCGGCUCGUAAAUCGCUGGUUUCUCCUUGUUCUAAUCUUGGAGUGGGCACUAUUCUUACAAACGUGUGACAUCGUCCUUCCUAGAAAGAGGGGACAGGGAAGCCUGGUUAGAUGAGCCCAGGCUCCAGGAAAAGCAGGUCUCAGCUUUAAGGUGGCUGGGGUGAGAGAUGCUGUGCUCCUGACCCGGAGAGGCCCUUUGUUAUCCGGGGGGGAUUUGGGCUCUGGGUGGAUGUAAAUGCUAAACGGCUGCCUGGGUGGUGAGCAUGCUGGAGAACCCUGGCUUACUUGCUGCUGACUGCACUACCGGUGGUUCAGGAGAGAGACCAAAGUACAUAAGCAGAAAACAGGGCAGCAGAUAACAAGGCGGCCCAGUGGCCUUUCACUUCUUCCCCCUUCCUUCCCUCCUGUUCCUCCGGCCACUGGAGGACAGGGCCGAGUGUGUUUGUGCUGUCUUGAAGCUCACGCGGGCUGCCCGGGUCACAUGGCACGGGCAUGUGCAGCCUGCUCCAUUUCUACCACAACAACUCGCUCAUAAACAGCCCGGCUGCUGCGGCGGUGGCGGCGGAGACAUGUGCAAGUGAGGGGGUGGGGCACGUGGCCCUGCCCGAGCCAAGGGAAGGACUGGAUUGCUCAGCGCUGCCUCCACCCCUGCCCGCACUGGGCUGCCUAGCCACAGGAAAU
rnacentral:lncRNA from 1 species